rnacentral:lncRNA from 1 species
CAGCAGAACACUGCUGUGUGUUUGGAGCAGUUCAAAGGUGCUUCCAGAUAGAUCUUUUGGAAAAGGAUUUCUCUGUGUGUGUGUGUGUGUGUGUGUGUGUGUCUUUAUCUAUGUGUUUAUUGGUACUUUCAAGGAACAACAAGGGCAUUCAUAAAUUGACUGUUUAGUAGAGGCCACAGUGUAUUUCAGUCAUGACACACGUAUGGUCUGCUUUCUCUUUACAAACUACGUGAGACUUGAGCCUCUCCUGUGCAGAAAAUUAGGACAACAUCUGAGGAGGGCUAGGACAAGGAUAACUGUCCACCAGGGACCAAGCUAAGAUUGGUGGGAUCUGAAUUUGGCUCCACGAAAGAAAUCCCUCUGAGCUGAAAUAUUCUUUGAGACUUCAACAUCUUACGAAGUUUCCCCUCAAUCAGCCUCGUUGCCUUCUUAUUUAAAUCAUCUGCCAUCUAAUGAAUCUGGAUCAAAAGCGCCAAGCUUAAAAUAUACAACAAAAAGCUGCUUCUGGGUGAAGAGUUUGGAUCCAAAUCAAUACGUUUCUGUGCUCUGGCCAUUAUCACAUGCAGUUAACUGCUGGGAAAUACUGAUGUUCAAAAGAUAUGGUGGAAAAAGGCACCUGCUUUCUCACGCUGGUUUAUGUUUGUCAUCUUGAUAAAAAUGCAAGGCAGCAUAUGCAGAAAUUGUGCGGAAACACCAUUCACAUGGUAAUUCCUUUGUAUUUGAAUAACUUCUUUUCAGGUGGUGCACUGAAUGCCAGACUUGGGAGGAUUUGAGCAUCUCCCUGCCUUCAGUUCUUCCGUGACAAUAUUUUAGUGUCUGGCUCACUUUUUUGAUCAAAGAAGAUCAUUUACUGGGACUUCAGAAUGAAGACAGGAUCCCACUGUGUCACCCAGGCUGAAGUGCAGUGGCACCAUUAUAGCUCACUGCAGCCUUGAACUCUUGGGCUCAAGUGAUCCUCCUACCUCAGCCUCCCGAGUAGCUGGGACUACAGAAAUGUCAAUUGCCUACCUGAUGGCUGUGAAAAACAGAAAGAAGAAACAAAGACAUAUCUGUAUGUAAAGGUUGAGCUUGAAAAAAGAAAACUACUCUUGACGCUGAAGAACGCAAUCCAACAUGAAAGAAUGCUUAUUUCAAGUUUUACCUGAAUCUACCUAGAGCUGAAUUUCUUAUCUAUACUUUACUACAGAUAUUCUGCUUUGUGCAGAUCUACAAUGGAUCAUUAAAGUCAAAGGACAAUUACUUAUCUUUCUACUCCUCCCAGUACCCAAGACCUGAGAGUGAGAUAUUAAAUUCGUCCUUAGAUCUUUCAUGCAAUGUUACAGCUCUUUGGAACUCCUCAUGAAGCUCCUCCUCUCCAUGGUGGAAUUUUACUCUGAGGAGAGAUAGGCUAAAAUGUUUCAGUCCCCUAUAUGAUAAGUCCAAAAUCACCGUUUCACAUAUAUGCUGACCUGAUACAUUGAGUCACUGAUACGUGUCUUUCCACCUUCAGUAUAUUUUCUUUGACUAGCUUUAUUGCUUCCCUGUGAUGCUGAAUUUUGAGCAUGGAUGUGUGUGUCCAUAACAAAACCAUCCUAGGUAAACUGAAUUUGGUUAUUUGAAUUUCAUAAUUACUCUUUACUCCAAGUGUUGUGGAUUCAUGAUGCAAAUUUACCCAUUCCCAUUGCAAUAACUUAGAGCCAAAUAUCAAUUAUUUUAAAACUUGGUUCUCAUCACUGAACUAACAGUGUUGAAAAAGACAAUUUGCCUAUAUUUAAUAGUUUGCUAGUAAACUUUAUUUUGGGUUACAUCAAACUUGUAAUAAGUAGUGACUGGAUUGGGAAGGUGAGGUGUGCUGAUUUAAGGAUGCCUCUCCAUCUAUUUUAUGUGCUAGAAAAUAGGUAGCAAAAAAUAAAUCUUGCAGUACUCUCUUUUGAUUAACUACACAUUUUCCAUCUUGGAGUAAAAAGUAAUUAUGAAAUUCAACUCUAAUUGUAUAGUUUUUCUGUGUAAAAUAACUGAUGAAAAUAGAAUAAUUUAGAUGCUUUUUCUUUUAUUUUUUAUAGUAUUGAAUAGUGGAGCAUAACAAAUAGUACCUUCAGUUUGCUUUCUCUGGAAAAAAAUGAUUUGGUAAGAUUUUACAUGUCCCACAAAUGCUCUUAAACAAAAGAUAUGUCCCCAAGUGGACAACAGAUAAGUUUUUAUUUUAAAAAGGAAAGGAAGAAAUGUAUAUUUCUAGAAUUUUCUAGCUUAUAAGAAAAAUAAGGAGAAAUCUUCUAAUGGCUGGUUGGCAGCUAACUCUCCAGUUCCUCUACAGUGUGCAAAUUAUAUUAAAUGAAUUCAUUGCAUUAAUGAAGACAAACUUCACUGAUAUUUGAACAAUGAAUAUAAAUGGUUUGGAAUCAAGAAUUACCUUUAUUCAUUAUCAACAAUUAUCAGACAAGACCAGUUUCCAAAUAACAUUUUUUCCUAAAUUAACAGGAUGACCACACAUCUAGAUGGUUGUUGUAUGUGAGGACAGAGACAUCGCCAAAGGUCUGUGAAGGACUAACUGCUAUAGGAAUAGGCCAUAACUAGAGACCAGAAAAAAAAAUUUACAAGAGUGUUCAGACUUCUAGGAGCAUGAAAUUGUGAUAGAAGAAAACGUAUGAAUUGACCAUUACCGUUACCAUUACCCUAGCUUGAUUACUGAAGCAGAGGCCAGGGGUAGAAACUCAAGCAGAGCCAUGUAAUCCCACAGAGUUAAGGAGACAGGGAUCAAGGCACUGGAAAGCUGGAGUGUCAAGAACUUAUGGGGAAAAAUAUGAGAGCAGAAGCUGCACGAUGAGAAGGGUUCAAAGACCUGCAGAAGGUUAAAAAAACAAAAAAAAAACAUGAGUUUUUAGCUGAGCAUUGAUCUGCAUAAAUGUUGGAUAAAAUGUCAUGAAGUUCUAGAAAGAACAAUAGGAAAAGCCAGAGGGUAAAGAAUUUUUGGAAUUCACACAGAAAGAUGGAAAUAAUUUGUAUUCUCAAGAGCAGACAGGAGAGACCUAAUUCAUAGGGGAAUUGGGUAGAGUACUCAGAAACAUUGGGCCUUGGUAAUAAAGGAGAAUUAGCCUUAAAACCAAGGUUCCUCUGAACACAUUAGCAAAGGUUAAAACAAUGGAUACACAUGGACAUCAAGAUGGAGCUAAUAGACAUUGGAAACUACAAAAUGGGGGAGAGUGAGAGCAGAUGAGAGUGGAUAAAUUACUGAUUGGGUAAAAAGUUCAAAAAACAAAAACAAAGGUCAAAAAGAAGCCUUGAAAGGUAAUCAACAUCAUUAAUCAUCAGAGAAAUGCAAAUCAAAACCACCAUGAGAUGUCAUCUCAUACCUGUUAGGAGAUGAUUUAACUUGUUAUCAAAGUGAAAGGAUAACAAAUGUUGGCAAGGAUGUGUAGAAAAAAGAACUCUUAUAUAUGGUUGAUGGAAUGUAAAUUUGAUACAGUCAUUAUGGGAAAGAGAAUAGAGUUUUCUAAAGCAAUUAAAAAUAAAACUACCAUAUGAUUCAGUAAUCUCUCUUCUGGGAAUAUACCCAAAGGAAAUGAAAUCAUCACCUCAUAAAAAUGUCUGCACUCCCAUGUUCAUUGCAGCAUUAUUCAUAAUAGCUAAGAUAUGGAAAAGCCUAACUGUCCAUCAAGGGAUGAAUGGAUAAAGAAACUGUGGUAUAUUUCUAUAUAUCCCAUAAAAAUAAUAAUGAAAUAUUAUUCAGCCCUAAAAAAGAACAAGAUCUUCUCAUUUAACACAACAUAGAUGAGACUGGAGGACAAUGAAAUAAACCAGACAAAGAAAGAAAAGUAUUACAUGAUUGAUUUCACUUAAAUGAGGAUUCUUAAAAACUCAAAUAUAGAAAGAGAACAAAACAGUGGUUCUGGGGCAGAGGAGGAAGGGAGAAAAUUGGGAGAUAUAAGUCAGAGGAUACAAAGUAUAAGAUAUAUACCAUGAACAAGUCUAGAGGUCUAAUAUACAACAGGAGGACUAUAGGAAAUAAAAUUUUACCAUACAUGGAAUUCAUGCUAAAUGAAUAGAUUUUAACUGUUAUUGCCAUAAAAACAAAAACAAAAAAUGGGUAACUAUGUGAGAGGAUAGAUAUGUUCAUUUGUUCCACUAUGGUAACUUUUUACAAUCUACAUAUAUUUCAUAACAUCACAUUGUAUACCUUAAAUAUACGUAAUAAAAUUUAUUUUAAAACAAAG